GAUGAAGAACGUAGCGAAAUGCGAUAAGUAAUGUGAAUUGCAGAAUUCAGUGAAUCAUCGAAUCUUUGAACGUACAUUGCGCCCCCUGGUAUUCCGGGGGGCAUGCCUGUUCGAGCGUCAUUACAACCCUCAAGCUCUGCUUGGUAUUGGGCCCCGCCAGUUCUGGCGGGCCCUAAAGUCAGUGGCGGUGCCUUCCGGCUCCGAGCGUAGUAAUUCUUCUCGCUCUGGAGACCCGGUUGUGUGCUUGCCAACAACCCCCAAUUUUUUAAGGUUGACCUCGGAUCAGGUAGGGAUACCCGCUGAACUUAAGCAUAUCAAUAAGCGGAGGA
rnacentral:misc_RNA from 1 species